ensembl:lncRNA
CUUUUCCUUUUCCUUUUCCUUUUCCUUUUCCUUUUCCUUUUCCUUUUCCUUUUCCUUUUCCUUUUCCUUUUCCUUUUCCUUUUCCUUUUCCUUUUCCUUUCUUUGUUGUUUGUUUUGGAUGUUAUGUUUUGGGUUUUUUUUUUUCCCCAGGAAAAUAUGAGGCAAUUUUUUAAAAAUCUAUUUCCUUUUUUUCACAGCUUUCUUUUUCUGAUACUAAAUUAAUCAGACAGACUCAACCUAGAUUCAGUGGAUGCUGUGAAUGUACAUUUCUGUAUUUUCUCUGCUGCAGCUAUCAUCCUAAAUAACAUCAGCCCACCAGUGACAGAGGCUUUACAGUGCAAUGGAGAACUAUUUUGAAGGUUUGAAGAGAAGAAGUAAUAAAAAAUAAAGUCAUGAUUUUUUUCCCCCCUUUCAAAGCCUGUUUACAGAAACUUGUGUGCAUGUGGAUGUAUAUAUUCAAUUAUUUUGACUGUUCUUACCUGCAUGUUUCCUGCUUCUGGCUGAGGCCGAUCUCCCAGGGCUGCCUGCUUGGUGGGGCAGCAGGAAUCGGCACAAAUUGCCCCAAAAUCACGGUCUUGAGCCAUUCCCUGCCUGCUUCUGAGCUGGGAGAUGUGCUGGUACGUGCUCUGUGAUUUCUGAACGCUUGCAAGCAGUGGGAUGGCUCCCUAAAGUGACACUGCUGCUGCUCUCACCCUGACACUUCCUUUCAUCCUUUUUUUCCUGAG